rnacentral:rRNA from 1 species
AGUGAACGCUGGCGGUAGGCCUAACACAUGCAAGUCGAACGGCAGCACAGUAAGAGCUUGCUCUUACGGGUGGCGAGUGGCGGACGGGUGAGGAAUACAUCGGAAUCUACUUUUUCGUGGGGGAUAACGUAGGGAAACUUACGCUAAUACCGCAUACGACCUACGGGUGAAAGCAGGGGAUCUUCGGACCUUGCGCGAUUGAAUGAGCCGAUGUCGGAUUAGCUAGUUGGCGGGGUAAAGGCCCACCAAGGCGACGAUCCGUAGCUGGUCUGAGAGGAUGAUCAGCCACACUGGAACUGAGACACGGUCCAGACUCCUACGGGAGGCAGCAGUGGGGAAUAUUGGACAAUGGGCGCAAGCCAGAUCCAGCCAUACCGCGUGGGUGAAGAAGGCCUUCGGGUUGUAAAGCCCUUUUGUUGGGAAAGAAAAGCAGCAGGUUAAUACCCCGCUGUUCUGACGGUACCCAAAGAAUAAGCACCGGCUAACUUCGUG